rnacentral:rRNA from 1 species
ACUGCUCAGUAACACGUCGAUAAUCUUCCCUACGGUCAGGCAUACUCUCGGGAAACUGAGUGUAAAUCCUGAUAGGGGACGGGGCACUGGAAUGUCCCUUCCCUGAAACUCGUGCCGUAGGAUGAGUCGGCGGCGGAUUAGGCAGUUGGUGGGGUAACGGCCCACCAAACCUUUGAUCCGUACGGGCCAUGAGAGUGGUAGCCCGGAGAGGGACACUGUAAUACUGGUCCCAGCCCUACGGGGUGCAGCAGGCGCGAAACCUCCACAAUGCACGAAAGUGUGAUGGGGGGAUCCUCCGUGCUCAUGUCUGACAUGGGCUUUUGCCAAGGCCAGAGAUCUUGGCGAAUAAGGGGUGGGCAAGACCGGUGCCAGCCGCCGCGGUAACACCGGCGCCCCAAGUGGCAAUCGCGAUUAUUGGGCCUAAAGCGUCCGUAGCCGGACAGGUAAAUCCUCUGUGAAAUCGUUGCGCUUAACGUAACGGCGCGCAGGGGACACUGCCUGUCUCGAGACCGGGAGGGGUCAGAGGUAUGCCGUGGGGACUGGUAAAAUGGUAUAAUCCACGGUAGACCACCAAUGGCGAAGGCAUCUGACCAGAACGGAUCUGACGGUGAGGGACGAAAGCUAGGGGAGCGAACCGGAUUAGAUACCCGAGUAGUCCUAGCCGUAAACGCUGUGAGCUAGGUGUUGCCUAUCCCAUGAGGAUGGGCAGUGUCGAAAUGAAGAUGCUAAGCUCACCGCCUGGGAAGUACGGUCGCAAGACUGAAACUUUAAGGAAUUGGCGGGGGAGCA